GACGCACGCUGGCGGCGUGCUUAACACAUGCAAGUCGAACGAAGUGGCGAACGGGUGAGUAACGCGGAAUCAACCUGCCCUUCAGCGGGGGAUACAAGUUGGAAACGACUGCUAAUACAGCAUACAGAAGGAGGGGAUGGAGUCUGAUUAGCUAGUUGGCGGGGUAACGGCCCACAUAGGCGAUGAUCAGUAGCCGGUCUGAGAGAAUGAACGGCAACAGUGCGAAUGGGAAACGGCCCAAACUCAUACGGGAGGCAGCAGUUGGGAAUCAGCCGCAAUGGACGAAAGUCUGAAGGAGCAACGCCGCGGGAGUGAUAACGGCCUUCGGGUUGUAAAGCUUUUUUAAUCGGUACGCGGUACCGGAAUAGAAAGCCACGGCUAACUACGUGCCAGCAGCCGCGGUAAUAC
rnacentral:rRNA from 1 species